ACCAUGCUGUGCAGUUCUUACCCGCUCCCCACUCCCACUCCCUACCUCCACAAUGACGUUUUUGUGUGAUAUAUUUUCACUAUAAAAUCUCUGCAGGGGUGGGUGAUGAGAAAGGCUAAAAGAAGAAGCUAAUUUUAAUGAGAAUGACAGAAUCCCUGAUUAAACUAAUAUCCACUAAGGCUUAAAUGACUAAGAGCAUUAUUAUUCCUCUGUUAUUUGCAUUUUGAAGUCUUGUCCCAUAGCAAAUUAUACCAGUUCCUGCUUUCCACAAGUUCCUUUCUCCAUGUCCAGUGUUUAGAACUGAGAGUUGCUACACAUCUAAAUAUUCCUCACAAUGUCUGCUAUGAAUCAGCAAUUUUGCAUAAAGGUGAAUGAGGGUUCCGUGGAAAUGGAAUUCUGUGCGCCUGACACUCUGAUGGAUAGCUUUAUGUUUAGAAGUCAGGAAUGCCGGACCUACUUUGUGCAUACCAAGAUGAGAAAGACAUCUCCGUCAUCUUUGGUGAGUUCUGAGCCUACAGAGACACACUGUCUUGUAUUAUAUUAUGUGCAUAGAACUAUAUAUUAUGACUAUGUGUUCACGUUUACAGGUUUAGGAUUCUUCUGUAAAGGUAUAUGUAUUCAGAUGUAUUGAAAUGUAAGAUAACUACAUUUGUAGAUCUCGGACCAGAUUUUUUAGAAAGUCACUCUAAAGAGAAGAUAAAGUGCAUCUUACAAACAAAAAAUAGAAUUUUUAGCCUAUGGAAAAAAACAAAAAUGUG
rnacentral:lncRNA from 1 species